AUUGAACGCUGGCGGCAGGCUUAACACAUGCAAGUCGAGCGGGGAAGAGUAGCUUACUACUUUACCUAGCGGCGGACGGGUGAGUAAUGCUUAGGAAUCUGCCUAUUAGUGGGGGACAACAUCUCGAAAGGGAUGCUAAUACCGCAUACGUCCUACGGGAGAAAGCAGGGGACCUUCGGGCCUUGCGCUAAUAGAUGAGCCUAAGUCGGAUUAGCUAGUUGGUGGGGUAAAGGCCUACCAAGGCGACGAUCUGUAGCGGGUCUGAGAGGAUGAUCCGCCACACUGGGACUGAGACACGGCCCAGGCUCCUACGGGAGGCAGCAGUGGGGAAUAUUGGACAAUGGGGGGAACCCUGAUCUAGCCAUGCCGCGUGUGUGAAGAAGGCCUUUUGGUUGUAAAGCACUUUAAGCGAGGAGGAGGCUACCGAGAUUAAUACUCUUGGAUAGUGGACGUUACUCGCAGAAUAAGCACCGGCUAACUCUGUGCCAGCCGCCGCGGUAA
rnacentral:rRNA from 1 species